rnacentral:rRNA from 1 species
CUCGUAGGUGGCCAACUAAGUCAGACGUGAAAUCCCCAGGCUCAACCUGGGAGCUGCGUCUGAUACUGGAUGGCUUGAAUUCGGGAGAGGGAUGCAGAAUUCCAGGUGUAGCGGUGAAAUGCGUAGAUAUCUGGAGGAAUACCGGUGGCGAAGGCGGCAUCCUGGACCGAGAUUGACACUGAUGAGCGAAAGCUAGGGGAGCAAAC